UACAGAGGGUGCGAGCGUUAAUCGGAAUUACUGGGCGUAAAGCGUGCGUAGACGGUUAUUUAAGUCGGGUGUGAAAGCCCCGGGCUCAACCUGGGAAUUGCAUUCGAGACUGAAUAGCUAGGGUACGGUAGAGGGAAGUGGAAUUUCCGGUGUAGCGGUGAAAUGCGUAGAUAUCGGAAGGAACAUCAGUGGCGAAAGCGACUUCCUGGACCAGUACCGACGUAGGCACGAAAGCGUGGGGAGCAAACAGG
rnacentral:rRNA from 1 species